GAGCAGGACGAACGUCGUAUGAACGUAAUCAGCAAAUGUGCCAAGGCUGUUGGCCCCGAAAGCAAAAUUAGUUCAAUUUGUAGAAAAUCAAGCUAACGUCUGUGCGUCCGCAUGUGUCAGACGGAAAGUGGCAGACAAACCAAAAAGUACAAAAACAUUUUGCAGAGCGAACGACAACGACUCUGACGAUGGCUAACUGGAAUUAUUUUCCUUUUUUUGCCGUGCAGCGUCCGGGCAAAUGAACUCCGGCUAAUUACUCAAUGCAAAUUAAAAUUCAUGUCAAGCAGAUUGGAUUAUCCUCACGCAACAUUAAAUGUCGCGUUUAGCCAAGCUGGCAGCAGCAGGAAAGCUGUUCUAAAUUUUGCCAGCUUGGCGCCAAAUGGACAACUGGAAUCAGGAGCGUAAAGGAUAAGGGCGGCGCCCAAAUGUCAAUUUAGUGUUAAGGCCCAACAACAACAGCAGGAGUAAAGAAAGGGAGGAAAAGAGAGUAACAAAAAACAUGCGAACAGCACAAAAAAAGGGCCCCAACAACAACAGCAACAACAGCGAAACAAAAAGGAGCUGUAGAGCGUAAAGAGCGCAACAGGAUUGGACAUGGCUAUGUGGACAGGGGCGACGGAAACGUGCAAGGCUUUCCGGGCGUGAACCUGGACGCGAACCGGCCGGGCCAUGACAACGCAACUAACUACAGUUUGCCUCCGACGACGUAAAUAACAAACGACCGAAAGUUAGCAUUUUUAUUUUGCAUUUUAAGUUGAUUUGCCGCCUGCGUGCUGAGCGCAGUGUCAACGGCACUCAGUCCGCAGGAUUCCCAAAAACAGAGCAGGCUCUCAACACAAAAAAAGCUGGAAAAAACUAAGCACACACACACCCACACGUUCACAUACUCCACACAGAUGUGGGUGUGAGCCCUGGGCUACGGUGGGCAAAAUAUGUCAUCUACUACUUAGCUAAGUGGAGCUAGAGUCGACGGCAGAUCUUGACAUUUGAUUAAUUCUGAAUGAAGUGGCUGGCAGCGUGAAUUCAACUGAAAAUCAGCUAAAGGUAAAGUUUUUAUAUAAAUAUUAUAUAACUGCUAUUGAAACUAUCUAACCCAAAUUUAGAUUU